rnacentral:lncRNA from 1 species
GUCCUCCAGAUGUUGCUGAACUGCAAAUCCCAACACUCCUCACUAUUGGCUGUGUGGGCUAAGAUUGCUGGGAGUUGAAGUUCAGCAACAUCUGGAGGGCCACAUUUUGCCCAGGUCUGCUUAAAAGUACGUAUAGAACAUACUAAUUUUUUCCCCAGGGCUAUCCAGGAAAGAUUUCGUCACAGGCAGAACCACUUCUGAUCCAUUAAGUAUUAGCUCCACACAACAUCAAUUGGUGCCAACUUCAGAUCCUCUGGGGAAAUCAACAGGGAAUGUGGGUGAUUUCAAGAUAGCUGGAGAAGAAGGUCUCUUUCCCACAAUGGCUCCAGAAGAGACACCCGAUCUUGAGGAAUCCUUUGGAGAAGGUAAGAGAAGAUUGCACUAGAAUCAUUACUUUAAUUGGAAGAAGGCAGUGAGAAAUGCUGUAUCAUUUGUGUAAGUUGCCACUUUCAUGCAAAUUAAUUUAAGUGAGGAGUGGAAACGUGAAAAUUAAGAUGCAUAAGGAUCUGGCUUCAAGCAAGCCACAACUUUAUUUAUGAAUAUUUCACAAAGGGAGACACCAGACUAUUUCUCAUCUAUUUAAAGGUUCAUGGAACUUUUAGUGCUUCUUCUUCAAUCGUACACAGAGACCAAAAUCUUCUUGCACAAGUUAUGCCUGCUGAAGAGUGAUGACAUCAUCAGCAAGAGAGGAUUUUGGUAAAGGCUUCCCCCAUCCUUGCAGCUCAUCCAACUUGCAAAUCAUCCCUUUCAUAACAUGGAAGCAAUGGAAACUUUAGGACAAAAGAAGGACAU